rnacentral:lncRNA from 1 species
UUCAAAACAGAUAUAAUCUGCAAAUAUUAUGCUAAGUGAAAGUGUUACGGAAGUGUUACAGAACCAGAAGAACCACGUGAUCCUGGGAGGCUUCAGAGGUUUGGAGGUUUCUUUAACACCAGCAGGCUCUGAAAAAAGUGAUCUCCAAAAGUCUGAGUGGUGAAUGACACAGAUGUUGUCAACGUAGUGAGGCUGCUAUUGACCUCCUGACCGUAUGUCAGAAGAAGGAUCACCAGCUUCUAGACGCAACUGAGAAUGACCUGGGGUACUAAAAACCACAGGGAGCAAAACUAGAGAAUAUCUUUCAGCCUUGCUUGGGAGAUACAUCAAGAACAGUACACAUACAGACAAGAAGAAAGUGAAGAGAGCAAACAGAAGAAUGUAUUUGCUUCCCACUUUCUGAUUCUAAGAAGGUAAACCUUGGGACCAAAGUGCCCCUCUUGGCUGAGAUCCAGUUGCAGGUCCUUGGAGCAACUUUUAAAGCUGCUGCUGAGCACUUGGCUGUCUACAGAAGAGCAAACCAACCCAUCUGCUAAGAAAGAUCCCCUCAUACAGGAGUCCACACUUGACUGAAAUGCAUGAAGACCACAGUACCCAUCCUUCGGGUCCACAGAGGUGGGCAUCUUUCUUCAGCCCAGGGAGCAGGAGAUGGCUGGGGACGUUAUGAGGAAGUGUGCAGCGGCUCCCAGGACAGCCUGUGGAAAGGAGCAGAGGUUCCUUUUGAUGCUGCUUUCUCAUUUUAA